GACGAACGCUGGCGGCGUGCUUAACACAUGCAAGUCGAACGAUGAAGCCGGAGCUUGCUCUGGUGAAUUAGUGGCGAACGGGUGAGUAACACGUGAGUAACCUGCCCUUGACUCUGGGAUAACUGCUAGAAAUGGUAGCUAAUACCGGAUACGACCCUCGGAGGCAUCUCCAGGGGGUGGAAAGAAUUUCGGUCAAGGAUGGACACGCGGCCUAUCAGCUAUGUGGUGAGGGAACGGCUCACCCAGGCGACGACGGGUAGCCGGCCGGAGAGGGUGACCGGCCGCACGGGGACUGAGACACGGCCCAGACUCCUACGGGAGGCAGCAGUGGAGAAUAUUGCACAAUGGGCGCGAGCCUGAUGCAGCAACGCCGCGUGAGGGAUGACGGCCUUCGGGUUGUAAACCUCUUUUAGUAGGGAAGAAGCGAAAGUGACGGUACCUGCAGAAAAAGCACCGGCUAACUACGUGCCAGCCGCCGCAGUAA
rnacentral:rRNA from 1 species